AUUGAACGCUGGCGGCAGGCCUAACACAUGCAAGUCGAGCGGAUGAAGGGAGCUUGCUCCUGGAUUCAGCGGCGGACGGGUGAGUAAUGCCUAGGAAUCUGCCUGGUAGUGGGGGAUAACGUCCGGAAACGGGCGCUAAUACCGCAUACGUCCUGAGGGAGAAAGUGGGGGAUCCUCGGACCUCACGCUAUCAGAUGAGCCUAGGUCGGAUUAGCUAGUUGGUGGGGUAAAGGCCUACCAAGGCGACGAUCGGUAACUGGUCUGAGAGGAUGAUCAGUCACACUGGAACUGAGACACGGUCCAGACUCCUACGGGAGGCAGCAGUGGGGAAUAUUGGACAAUGGGCGAAAGCCUGAUCCAGCCAUGCCGCGUGUGUGAAGAAGGUCUUCGGAUUGUAAAGCACUUUAAGUUGGGAGGAAGGGCAGUAAGUUAAUACCUUGCUGUUUUGACGUUACCAACAGAAUAAGCACCGGCUAACUUCGUG
rnacentral:rRNA from 1 species